rnacentral:rRNA from 1 species
UGGGGAAUAUUGCACAAUGGGCGAAAGCCUGAUGCAGCAACGCCGCGUGAGUGAUGAAGGCCUUCGGGUUGUAAAGCUCUGUCUUCUGGGACGAUAAUGACGGUACCAGAGGAGGAAGCCACGGCUAACUACGUGCCAGCAGCCGCGGUAAUACGUAGGUGGCAAGCGUUGUCCGGAUUUACUGGGCGUAAAGGAUGCGUAGGCGGAUACUUAAGUCAGAUGUGAAAAUCACGGGCUUAACUUGGGAACUGCAUUUGAAACUGGGUAUCUAGAGUGCGGGAGAGGAAAGUGGAAUUCCCAGUGUAGCGGUGAAAUGCGUAGAGAUUAGGAAGAACACCAGUGGCGAAGGCGACUUUCUGGACCGUAACUGACGCUGAGGCAUGAAAGCGUGGGGAGCAAACA